rnacentral:lncRNA from 1 species
CUGAGUGCAACUAAAUGGGUGGCUUCCUUCUGGACCCUCACUUCACUGUCUUAGGUACAAGAACUGUGGAAGUCCAUUUUAGAAUUUGAAAGAACAAGAUUCUGCAGCUCUGGAAAGAUAUGAUGUUCCUGAGAGAAUUGUAUAGAUUGGUCCUUUACUCUAGCAGGCAUCUGGAAGGUAGUGUAUAUUCAUUUUUGCACCCACAGCACCACUGGGACCACCCACCUGCUUCUUGCUCUCCAGUGUCAAUACCAGUUCUGUGUAUGAUGGCUCUUCUUCAAACCUAAGCCAUUAUUUCUUUAUUGCCAUUAUGCCUGCUGGCUGCUUUUCUUCUGGAUGUUUAACUGCUUGUCACUGUAUGUAUGCAUAGAGUCUUUGUAAUAGUAUGUGCUUCAUAAAUUGAUGAAGAAUUCCACUCUAAUCCCUCACAAAUUGCAAGUAAUAAAUAC